GGUGUUCAGAGACACGAGGGGGAUUAGUGGUUCAUGAUCAAACGAGGUCAGAGGGGCGGGAUGGAGCGCGAUCUGACCGGACAGCGUUAUUUACAGCCAUGCACUCUGCAGG